UCUGGAAUGUUCUCAGCACCCUAAAGUGCCAAAUCAACUCCGUCUUGAACCAGAAUGGCCUCCAUCUUGAGUUGCCACAUGCUGAAGUUGACAUUUCUGUCGAAUUUCUCGACAACAAUCUUUGUUAUUGUCAUCGUUGCCAAAAGAUCCCAGAACCAGGCUCUGAUACCAGUUUGUUAGAGCUAGCCCCAGGAAAUUUACCACAAGG
rnacentral:lncRNA from 1 species